rnacentral:rRNA from 1 species
UACGGGGGGGGUAAGCGUUGUUCGGAAUUACUGGGCGUAAAGGGCUCGUAGGCGGCCACCUAAGUCAGACGUGAAAUCCCUCAGCUUAACUGGGGAACUGCGUCUGAUACUGGAUGGCUUGGAUUCGGGAGAGGAAUGCGGAAUUCCAGGUGUAGCGGUGAAAUGCGUAGAUAUCUGGAGGAACACCGGUGGCGAAGGCGGCAUUCUGGACCGAUAUUGACGCUGAGGAGCGAAAGCCAGGGGAGCAAGCGGG